CCUACGGGAGGCAGCAGUAGGGAAUAUUGCUCAAUGGGGGAAACCCUGAAGCAGCAACGCCGCGUGGAGGAUGAAGGUUUUCGGAUUGUAAACUCCUUUUGUUAGAGAAGAUAAUGACGGUAUCUAACGAAUAAGCACCGGCUAACUCCGUGCCAGCAGCCGCGGUAAUACGGAGGGGGCAAGCGUUACUCGGAAUCACUGGGCGUAAAGGGCGUGUAGGCGGGAUAGCAAGUCAGAUGUGAAAUCCUAUGGCUUAACCAUAGAACUGCAUUUGAAACUGUUAUUCUAGAGUAUGGGAGAGGUAGGUGGAAUUCUUGGUGUAGGGGUGAAAUCCGUAGAGAUCAAGAGGAAUACUCAUUGCGAAGGCGACCUGCUAGAACAUAACUGACGCUGAUGCGCGAAAGCGUGGGGAGCAAACAGGAUUAGAUACCCUAGUAGUC
rnacentral:rRNA from 1 species